UACUUUGUUUUUAUUACAGGGCAUGGCUACCAGGAACAAACAUGAAAGGAAAGAACUUGUCACAAGCUUAAACAGGACUUGAGUCUAGGAAGUGAAAUUCCACCAACAGAAAAGCUCCCCUUGACAAUAGCAUUUCUCCUCAGUGGCUGAAUCAUUCUUCAUUCUUAUCAAUGACAUAUGAAGUUUGAGCUGCUUCCUGAUGAGUCCAUUGCAGCCAGGCUUUGGUACAGAAAAUCACCGUCCUGUCUACAAUCAACUAGAGACCAUCAGAGAACGCUGGUUAGUCCACCAGUCACGACAAGGGAAGUGAAGAGCAGCUGGCAUAUUGUAGGUGGUAUGAAGGUCUGUUUAGUAUAAAGGCCUGGAAGGAGAAUGGCCUGAGUUUGAAAUCUAGCACUUCCUCCUUCCAACUAUGUGACAUCUGGCAGGUUACAUAUCCUCCAUUGUCUCACCUGGAAAUAACUGUCACAUCAUCUAGGUGACGGUAUUCUUUUGGCUCAGCAUGUAACUCAUGCACAACUCUUCAAUAAACAGAGGUGGCUGGCAUUGCUUUGGUAAUUUCCAGAAUGGAGUCUUUGGCAUGCGAGAGCCAUGGCUUACAUCUCACUGAAGAGCCUGAUGCAAGCUUUAACAAACUUCAAAUGCUAUGGGCAAUUUAGAAGACACAAAGUGAUCUUAUUCUGACCUAGGAAAAUGUUUAGGCUAAUUCAGACAUUGGAACACUUAGAUCAUAAAACUAGCAAUCAGCAAGGUUUCUGAGUGUGGAGAUAAUAAAUAGGUUUUUAACUUCAUGAACUUGUAAUUCCUUUAGUGUAAGGACAUUCUUACACCUUUUCAUACUCAACUCAUUUGUGUGUGUGUGUGUGUGUGUGUGUGUG